AAACCCGGUGAUCUAGCCAUGGGCAGGUUGAAGGUUGGGUAACACUAACUGGAGGACCGAACCGACUAAUGUUGAAAAAUUAGCGGAUGACUUGUGGCUGGGGGUGAAAGGCCAAUCAAACCGGGAGAUAGCUGGUUCUCCCCGAAAGCUAUUUAGGUAGCGCCUCGUGAACUCAUCUUCGGGGGUAGAGCACUGUUUCGGCUAGGGGGUCAUCCCGACUUACCAAACCGAUGCAAACUCCGAAUACCGAAGAAUGUUAUCACGGGAGACACACGGCGGGUGCUAACGUCCGUCGUGAAGAGGGAAACAACCCAGACCGCCAGCUAAGGUCCCAAAGUCAUGGUUAAGUGGGAAACGAUGUGGGAAGGCACAGACAGCCAGGAUGUUGGCUUAGAAGCAGCCAUCAUUUAAAGAAAGCGUAAUAGCUCACUGGUCGAGUCGGCCUGCGCGGAAGAUGUAACGGGGCUAAACCAUGCACCGAAGCUGCGGCAGCGAACGUAUCACUUAAAACGCUUAACGUGACGGCAAAGCCGGCAUGUUCAAGCCACACUAAACGUUGAGUUGGCCGAUGUGCUGACAAACGAACAGGCGUUUUAAGGAUACGUUCGUUGGGUAGGGGAGCGUUCUGUAAGCCGUUGAAGGUGGCCUGUGAGGGUUGCUGGAGGUAUCAGAAGUGCGAAUGCUGACAUAAGUAACGAUAAUGCGGGUGAAAAACCCGCACGCCGGAAGACCAAGGGUUCCUGUCCAACGUUAAUCGGGGCAGGGUGAGUCGACCCCUAAGGCGAGGCUGAAAAGCGUAGUCGAUGGGAAACAGGUUAAUAUUCCUGUACUUGGUGUUACUGCGAAGGGGGGACGGAGAAGGCUAGGCUAGCCGGGCGACGGUUGUCCCGGUUUAAGCAUGUAGGCGGAGUGACCAGGUAAAUCCGGUUGCUUAUCAACGCUGAGGUGUGAUGACGAGUCACUACGGUGAUGAAGUAGUUGAUGCCAUGCUUCCAGGAAAAGCCUCUAAGCAUCAGGUAACAUGAAAUCGUACCCCAAACCGACACAGGUGGUCAGGUAGAGAAUACUCAGGCGCUUGAGAGAACUCGGGUGAAGGAACUAGGCAAAAUGGUGCCGUAACUUCGGGAGAAGGCACGCUGGCAUUAGGUAAAGGGACUUGCUCCCGGCGCCGAAGCCAGUCGCAGAUACCAGCUGGCUGCAACUGUUUAAUAAAAACACAGCACUGUGCAAACACGAAAGUGGACGUAUACGGUGUGACGCCUGCCCGGUGCUGGAAGGUUAAUUGAUGGGGUCAGCCGCAAGGCGAAGCUCUUGAUCGAAGCCCCAGUAAACGGCGGCCGUAACUAUAACGGUCCUAAGGUAGCGAAAUUCCUUGUCGGGUAAGUUCCGACCUGCACGAAUGGCGUAAUGAUGGCCAGGCUGUCUCCACCCGAGACUCAGUGAAAUUGAACUCGCUGUGAAGAUGCAGUGUACCCGCGGCAAGACGGAAAGACCCCGUGAACCUUUACUAUAGCUUGACACUGAACAUUGAGCCUUGAUGUGUAGGAUAGGUGGGAGGCAUAGAAGUGUGGACGCCAGUCUGCAUGGAGCCAACCUUGAAAUACCACCCUUUAAUGUUUGAUGUUCUAACUCGGCCCCGUAAUCCGGGGUGAGGACAGUGUCUGGUGGGUAGUUUGACUGGGGCGGUCUCCUCCCAAAGAGUAACGGAGGAGCACGAAGGUUAGCUAAUCACGGUCGGACAUCGUGAGGUUAGUGCAAAGGCAUAAGCUAGCUUGACUGCGAGAGUGACGGCUCGAGCAGGUACGAAAGUAGGUCUUAGUGAUCCGGUGGUUCUGAAUGGAAGGGCCAUCGCUCAACGGAUAAAAGGUACUCCGGGGAUAACAGGCUGAUACCGCCCAAGAGUUCAUAUCGACGGCGGUGUUUGGCACCUCGAUGUCGGCUCAUCACAUCCUGGGGCUGAAGUAGGUCCCAAGGGUAUGGCUGUUCGCCAUUUAAAGUGGUACGCGAGCUGGGUUUAGAACGUCGUGAGACAGUUCGGUCCCUAUCUGCCGUGGGCGUUGGAAGAUUGAGAGGGGCUGCUCCUAGUACGAGAGGACCGGAGUGGACGAAUCACUGGUGUUCGGGUUGUCAUGCCAAUGGCAUUGCCCGGUAGCUAAAUUCGGAAGAGAUAACCGCUGAAAGCAUCUAAGCGGGAAACUUGCCUCGAGAUGAGUCUUCCCUGGGGCUUUAAGCCCCCUGAAGGAACGUUAAAGACGAUGACGUUGAUAGGCUGGGUGUGUAAGUGCAGCGAUGCAUUGAGCUAACCAGUACUAAUGAACCGUGAGGCUUAACCUU
rnacentral:rRNA from 1 species